rfam:Streptomyces sparsogenes DSM 40356 contig00274, whole genome shotgun sequence.
CGAAGCACUCGCGGGAGCCCGGACGCACCGGGCUGAGAGGGAGGCUGGAGCGGCCUCCGACCGUACGAACCUGAUCCGGGUCAUGCCGGCGAAGGGAGGGGCGUCACGCCCAUGC